CUGCUGGUAAAGGUCAUUACGUAUUACUUUACUUACCGGAGGAAAAGAAACCAACAGGGAUUGCCUCAGUAACGGCGAGUGAAGCGGCAACAGCUCAAAUUUGAAAUCUGGCCCUAGGCCCGAGUUGUAAUUUGCAGAGGAUGCUUUGGGUGCGGUGCCUUCCAAGUUCCCUAGAACGGGACGCCAGAGAGGGUGAGAGCCCCGUACAGUUGGACACCAAGCCUUUGUAAAGCUCCUUCGACGAGUCGAGUAGUUUGGGAAUGCUGCUCAAAUGGGAGGUAUAUUUCUUCUAAAGCUAAAUACCGGCCAGAGACCGAUAGCGCACAAGUAGAGUGAUCGAAAGAUGAAAAGCACUUUGAAAAGAGGGUUAAACAGCACGUGAAAUUGUUAAAAGGGAAGCGCUUGUGACCAGACUUGCGUCCGGUGAAUCACCCAGCUCUCGCGGCUGGGGCACUUCGCCGGCUCAGGCCAGCAUCAGCUCGCUGUCGGGGACAAAAGCUUCAGGAACGUAGCUCUCUUCGGGGAGUGUUAUAGCCUGUUGCACAAUACCCUUCGGCGGGCUGAGGUACGCGCUCCGCAAGGAUGCUGGCAUAAUGGUCAUCAGCGACCCGUCUUGAAACACGGACCAAGGAGUCAACCUUAUGUGCGAGUGUUCGGGUGUCAAACCCCUACGCGUAAUGAAAGUGAACGCAGGUGAGAGCUUCGGCGCAUCAUCGACCGAUCCUGAUGUUCUCGGAUGGAUUUGAGUAAGAGCAUAUAGGGUUGGACCCGAAAGAAGGUGAACUAUGCGUGUAUAGGGUGAAGCCAGAGGAAACUCUGGUGGAGGCUCGCAGCGGUUCUGACGUGCAAAUCGAUCGUCAAAUAUGCGCAUGGGGGCGAAAGACUAAUCGAACCUUCUAGUAGCUGGUUUCCGCCGAAGUUUCCCUCAGGAUAGCAGUGUUGAACUCAGUUUUAUGAGGUAAAGCGAAUGAUUAGGGACUCGGGGG
rnacentral:rRNA from 1 species